UACAGAGGUCCCAAGCGUUGUUCGGAUUCACUGGGCGUAAAGGGUGCGUAGGUGGCAGGGUAAGUUUGAUGUGAAAUCUCCGAGCUUAACUCGGAAACUGCAUUGAAUACUAUCCUGCUCGAGGUUUGGAAGGGGGACUGGAAUUCUCGGUGUAGCAGUGAAAUGCGUAGAUAUCGAGAGGAACACCAGUGGCGAAGGCGAGUCCCUGGACAACACCUGACACUGAGGCACGAAAGCUAGGGGAGCAAACAGG
rnacentral:rRNA from 1 species